rnacentral:lncRNA from 1 species
CCAUAAAACCAAAAAAUUUCCCCCUUUUUUUGAAUGUGAAUUUUACUGAUCAGUAAUAAUAAUACCAGUCAUUUUGAUAUACACGAUGAUUUUAAGUUCGUUAUGAACUUUAUCAUUUUUUUUCAAAUAAAAUUAAUCAAUCCGGGUUUUGAUUUGAUUCGUAUAGGGAUACAAAAGAGUGAGAGAUUUCUACAAAAGAGAAAAUUUGAGAGUUCAAAUAAGAGGAUUUUGUUGAUUCAUUUGUCGAUCUAAUUGAUAUGUAUGUCAUUAAAUUAGUAUCGUGUAUCAGAAGAAAAUGUAAGACAA